GACGAACGCUGGCGGCGUGCCUAAUACAUGCAAGUCGAACGCAGUGGGGGCGGGUGAGGAACAAGUGGGUAACCUCCCAUCAGAGGGGAUAACACGUGGAAACUGGUGCUAAACCGAUACUGGUGGAGGGAGCAGCUGUGCAUUAGCUAGUUGGUGAGGUAAUGGCUCACCAAGGCCACGAUGACUAGCCGACCUGAGAGGGUGAUCGGCCACACUGGGACUGAGACACGGCCCAGACUCCUACGGGAGGCAGCAGUAGGGAAUCUUGCGCAAUGGGCGCAAGUCUGACGGAGCCACGCCGCGUGAGUGAAGAAGGUUUUCGGAUCGUAAAGUUCUGUUGGUAGAGAAGCGUUAUCUAACGAGAAAGCCACGGCUAACUCCGUGCCAGCAGCCGCGGUAAUUC
rnacentral:rRNA from 1 species